GGGUUGUGAGGUUAAGCGACUAAGCGUACACGGUGGAUGCCCUGGCAGUCAGAGGCGAUGAAGGGCGUGCUAAUCUGCGAUAAGCGCCGGUAAGGUGAUAUGAACCGUUAUAACCGGCGAUACCCGAAUGGGGAAACCCAGUGUGACUCGUCACACUAUCAUUAACUGAAUCCAUAGGUUAAUGAGGCGAACCGGGGGAACUGAAACAUCUAAGUACCCCGAGGAAAAGAAAUCAACCGAGAUUCCCCCAGUAGCGGCGAGCGAACGGGGAGGAGCCCAGAGCCUGAAUCAGCAUGUGUGUUAGUGGAAGCGUCUGGAAAGGCGCGCGAUACAGGGUGACAGCCCCGUACACAAAAGCGCAUGUGCUGUGAGCUCGAUGAGUAGGGCGGGACACGUGGUAUCCUGUCUGAAUAUGGGGGGACCAUCCUCCAAGGCUAAAUACUCCUGACUGACCGAUAGUGAACCAGUACCGUGAGGGAAAGGCGAAAAGAACCCCGGCGAGGGGAGUGAAAAAGAACCUGAAACCGUGUACGUACAAGCAGUGGGAGCACCCUUUGGGUGUGACUGCGUACCUUUUGUAUAAUGGGUCAGCGACUUAUAUUCUGUAGCAAGGUUAACCGAAUAGGGGAGCCGGAGGGAAACCGAGUCUUAACCGGGCGUUAAGUUGCAGGGUAUAGACCCGAAACCCGGUGAUCUAGCCAUGGGCAGGUUGAAGGUUGGGUAACACUAACUGGAGGACCGAACCGACUAAUGUUGAAAAAUUAGCGGAUGACCUGUGGCUGGGGGUGAAAGGCCAAUCAAACCGGGAGAUAGCUGGUUCUCCCCGAAAGCUAUUUAGGUAGCGCCUCGUGAAUUCAUCUCCGGGGGUAGAGCA
rnacentral:rRNA from 2 species